rnacentral:rRNA from 1 species
UACGUAGGUGGCAAGCGUUGUCCGGAUUUACUGGGCGUAAAGAGCGCGCAGGCGGUCGCUCAAGUCGCGUGUGAAAGCCCCCGGCUCGACUGGGGAGGGUCACGCGAUACUGAUCGACUGGAAGGCAGGAGAGGGUAGUGGAAUUCCCGGUGUAGUGGUGAAAUUCGUAGAUAUUCGGAAGAACACCAGUGGCGAAGGCGACUUACUGGACACAUAUUGACGCUGAGGUGCGAAAGCGUGGGGAGCAAACAGG